rnacentral:tRNA from 1 species
GGGAUUGUAGCUCAGUGGUAGAGCACUUGCCUCACAUGCGUGAGGUCCUGGGUUUGAUCCUCAACACCA